UAGCAUCUGACUACGGAUCAGAAGGUUGGGGGUUCGAAUCCCUCCGGGC
rnacentral:tRNA from 1 species